rnacentral:tRNA from 1 species
CGGGGCGUAGCGCAGCCUGGUAGCGCACUUGUCUGGGGGACAAGUGGUCGCUGGUUCAAAUCCAGUCGUCCCGACCA